rnacentral:other from 1 species
GCCAUCCUGCCUUGUUCGAUUUGUUGCGGCUUUAAAUAAUCCUACUAAUCAAAUCUAGGGAGCCCGGAGUUGGCUAUGGGACCGCAGACCUCCCGCCCCGCAAAGGGGAGUACGGAAGAAGGGAGUGGAAACAUAGGCACAGGGCACCCACCUGCCAUUCGGUAGGUUUUGAUUGGUCGCAGACGGCAAGGCGGGGGUUUU